ensembl:lncRNA
UUGCGCACUCUCCAAGGCCAUCUCUGCAGCAGCUGAUUGAAACAGACUGAAAGUCUGAUUUCAGUUUCUACUUAAGGCAAUUUUUGGUUUGGUGUCUUGGUUUGGAAAGACAGGUAUCUGCUAAGGAAGGCAGGAGCCUCCCCUGAAAUGAAAAAAAUGUAGACCCCCUCCCUCCAAAUUGUUAUAAAUUUGAAAUUAAGGGAGGGCUUUCAGGCAAAAAUAUGGGAGCAGGAAUAAUAGUUCUUAGGAAAGAAAAUAAAAAUAUAAAAUAAACAAUCCAGUGAACCAAACCAACACUAACAGGGUCAGAAUACAACCUGACCCCUUGUUAGUCAGGGUGUUAGCAGCAGUCCAAUUGGAAUUGUGGCUGCACUCCUCCUGGAGUGGCAGGUGUGGUUCUAUUGGAGCAGUGAUCCGGUAGAAAACGAGUGUAUUCUUCCUCUGAAGAUGCAGUGGAAGAGGCAGCUGUUCCUCUGGGAAGUCCAGUGCAGGAAAAGCUGUGCUGGUGUUCCAGAAACUCAAGAUUAUAUCCAGGUAGAAAUGCUUGGCUCCUCCCUCUAGGCGGAGCAUCUCACAAUGGGAUGUUACAUUUCUUACCAGCCACACAGUGACAUUCAAUAGCCCAUUAUCAGCAGAUGUCUCCCCUGAGAGGGGAUUGGUUGUGGAAAAGAUAUGGAAAACCGCCCACUUAACAGAAGACAACUGCCAUGCAGAUGGCAAAUAGAAUACAUCUUGCCUUUCAAUCUAGGUGAUUUGGGUAGAUUUCCACCAACAGAAGACUUUGUCCCACUGCCCCAUUCAACAAUAGUUUUGACACAUUAUUGCCUGCUUCAAUCUCAUAAAGUGCAAAAGACUUCAUUCAGUAAAUGUAAACAGGGUGAAGAACAAAUUUCAAUACCUGCUGGCAGCAAAGCAGAGCAGGGCUCAGACUCAGGUUGUCUGCUCUUAAGCACUACAUGCAUGUUGACUCACCACUGGAAAGGACCUGGGGUGGGGCAGCUAGCCUGGGAGGCAAUGGGCUCAGACAUGGGAAAACUCAGAAAAGCUUGACUCCUGCUCUCACAGACACUGAGGCAGCCUGGGCAGCCUGGCCAUGGGGUUCUGCCCCCACACUUGGGUACUGGUGCCAUAAAAAUGUUUCACCGUGCAGAGGACUGACAUUUGUGCUGGAUUCUGAUAAUGCAGGCUUCUCCGCCACACACUAAUGUCAAGAAAUACCUUACCCUUAAAAAGAGACAACCUCAAAAGAUUGUAGUUUGCUUUUACUUCCAUCAUGAGAUGGACUGGAAAUUUAGUUUUUUAAAUGUUCAAGACGUAAAAUGAGUUUUCAGACUGGGUUAGCCACACAAUGGGAAAACAAGGAUAAUUUAGCAUUUACAAAAAAGCUUGUCAAGUUUUGUUUGCUUCUACCAAUAUCAGCCAGGGAAGUUUGAGACUUGCUUGCAUGCAGAGUCUGGAGAGUAAGUAGGAUUGAAAAGUUCUACAUUUGGCUACUCUUUCUCACCAUGCUGAAAAUCAGCAAAGGAUCAUUCAAUUCCCUUCACUUUGAAACCAUUUUACUCUGUCAGGUAGAUAUACUAUACUAGUGAAAGUACCAAGAACUACAUUAAGAACCCUGUGGGAUACUAUGUAUUCCAUUAUAUUUAUGAGUGCUUUGCCAUAAAUACCAGAUAGACUGUUGAAUUCUAUGCUGAUUGUGUGCAUCUUCUUUAACUUUUAACUCCCCCCUACUUCACUCCAUUCAUGUCUUGCUCCUGUUACUCUCCAAAGUUUGUCUGAUGGCUUCUGUUCCAUCUCUGUUUUUCUUUUCCACACUUUCUGAGCAUAAUUGGAUUACUGCUUUUUCAAGCAUUUGAGUAUUUUUGCUCUACUCUUUUCUCAUCAUGUAAUAAUUCCCUAGAUUUAGUUUCAUUCUCAUAAUUCAUCAGCAUUUGAUUUCUUAGUUGGCAUUUUUCCUUGCAUCUCUCUCUGUUUAUUCUCAUCAUCCCACUUAUUCAAUACUACACACUCCUCCAAGGGCUAAUUCCUCAUUCUGGGUUUUACUCCAAUAUUUUUCUCCUACAUCACCACUCCAUCACAGUGUAUGAGACACUUGGAAGUUUUAAAGAGGUACCUUUCCUCCAAAAUUACAUCACAUCUGUAUUUAAAAUGCCACAGAGUGCCAUCUCUUCUAAUUAAAAAAAAAAAAAAAAGAAAAAAAAAAAAAAAAAAAAA